rnacentral:rRNA from 1 species
GCAGGGAAUGCCUCUUCGUCGUGGCAAGCUAUAAGUUAUGGUUUAGAGUUGCUCAAAAAAGGCCUAGUGUGGAGAGUGGGCAAUGGAAAAAGUAUCAGAGUCUGGAGAGAUAAUUGGAUUCCGAGACCACAUUCUUACAAGCCUAUCUCACCUCAGCAUAAUUGUCGUAUAAGGUUUGUGGAGGGACUAUUAAAUGCAAAUGGUUCAUGGAAUUAUGAAUUGGUGCAAAGAUAUUUUGUCCCAGCGGAUGUCACCGAAAUUUUAAAGAUCCGGGCGUCUCCUCGUUUGGAGGAUGACAUUCUGGCUUGGGGACUGGGCAAACAUGGUCAGUUCUCGGUUAAAUCUGCGUAUGAUAUGGCGUUUGAUGAAGAGUACAGGUACAAUGCAGAAUCAAGAAGCGUGCAACCUUCUGGCGAGCGGCCAUGCUGGAAAUAUAUUUGGGCGUGCGGGCUACCGCCGGCUGUCAGAAAUUUUGCUUGGCGUUUAGCCAUUGAUGCUCUUCCAACCUGGCAGAAGAAGCACAUAAUUGGUUUAGAAACGUCCGGUUUAUGUCCGGUAUGUGCGAUGGAAGUGGAGGAUAACUAUCAUCCUUUUGUACGGUGUCCUCUUUCCCGUGAGCUAUACCAAGCAUUAUCUUCAGUUUGGAACCUUCCUAGUCUGCAGAGUAUCUUAUUUACUGGCAGGGAGUGGCUUAUCCAGUUAAUUGAAUCCCUGGAUGAUGUUCAGAGAAGCAUGGUGUUGAUGGUCUUUUGGAGGAGCUGGUAUGUGAGGAACGAAUUAGUGCAUAAUAAACCUACACCUCCAGUCAACGUGUCUUGCAGAUUCCUUCAGAGCUAUCUUGACUCUCUCAUUGGCAUUAAGUUGAACUCAAACGCUGAUCCACGUAAAGGAAAAAUGGUUAUCACCUACUUUGUUGCCAGCAAUCCACAAUGUGCUUCAGAACCACCGUCGGGGUGGCAUGCUCCAGCGCGUGGCUGGGUGAAGUUAAACUCUGACGGCGCCUUUGUUUCAGAAGGAGAAGCUGGUGCAGGGAUGUUGUUCAGAGAUGAGGCGGGGAGUAUCAUCUUCUCGGCGUGCAUGAAAUUGUACUCAUGCCGUGAUGCACUUGAGGCGGAAUUAUGUGCAUGCAUGGAAGGAUUAUCUUUGGCUAUUCAAAGGAGUGAUUUGCCGAUAUGUAUUGAGCUGGAUUCAUCCACGACGGUCUCGUUGAUCCAAAGUAAGGGUGAAGAUAGAUCAAUUUAUGCAUCUAUUAUCAAAGAGAUUAAGUUGCUGAGAGGUCUUCGGUUAUCUAGUAUUACUCAUGUUUCUCACUUUUGUAAUAAGGCCAGUGACAGUUUAGCUAGAUUUGCUAGAGUUGAAAAUAGAACCUUGACUUGGAUAGGGUCAGGUCCCCCUGAAGUGGUAAAACUUGCAAACAAUGAUUGUAUGAACACUUUCCGUGAGUAA